UCGGUCAUACCCCCUUUCUAUAAAUUAGGGCUUUGCAACUUCAACGAUGCCUAGCCAUUGUAGCCUCCUGUCUCUCCCUUCGAGUGUCGUGGAUGCACAUGGUUGUUUCUUCCUUCCCUCUUGGCGUCUUUGCCCUUGUUUCUCUGCAAGAUUGGCGGGCGGGAUUCGCGGGGGUGGCGAUGAUGAGGCUGAAAAGGCGUUAUGGCUGGCUGGAUCUCUGAUUUCGAAUUAUCCGUGUCGAGGUUGCGAUCCACAUCGUGAGAAUAUAACUCAAGAUUAUAUGUCGGAUUGAAGGGCGAGGCAAGUUAUUACAUCUGUUGUCUCUGAUUUACGGUCCAGUGAUCUUGUUUUCCAUAUUUUUUCAAUGUUGAAGAGUCUUGGGUGUUCAAUUAUUGGGGCUGCUUGGCGUUAUGCCUUGAUCGCUUUGAUCCAUGAUCUGUUACUCUCUUCCGUGUGGUAUUUAUCGGAUCUUGCUGUUACAGGGAUGGCUAUUAUUAGAUUUUUUCUCUGCUGAUGACAACCGAGAUGCGUUCCGAAGAAAUAUGGUGUUCGAAGCCUUCGGAACCUAUUCUAGUUGUCGGCUUGGUCUCAAUCUGAUUUGGUUACAAGCAAGCAAUAUUGAUUGUUGUAACUAGGAAGAUAUAUGGAAGAAAGAAGUUGGUGAUUGUGAAAGAUUUAAGAGAUCUGGAUAGAAAAAGGCCUGGUUUCAGGGGGUCAUGUCUUGGAUCUUUCAUCUUUGUCGCCCGGCCUUUGCCAUGACAGGUGCGCUUGCAUGGCAGGUCAUCCUUAAAUAAAAAUAUUUAUUUUGUGGUUUUCGAGGGGAGAUCGUACGGGGUUUUUUUGCCCGGGCUCUCCCCUCGUGUGUGUGUGUUUGUUGCGUUUUUUAUUUUUAUGCUUUCUUUUUUUCUUCGCCACGGAAUAUUCCAUCCUCGAAAGCAUCCUUGACGGACGUCGUUGGCGCUCUUACUCUCAAAAGGUACACGCUGCACUGCUUGUUUAAAUACAUUUAUAUUAUCAUGCUGUAAAACGUGACUAGCCUAGUAGGAAUAUUACCUCCUCCUCAAAAACAUUAACAUGACAAAUUUGGUCGAUAUGGUGGCAGACAUGACAAUUUUAGGAAGAUUUUUUUUUUUGGCUAAAAUUUUGGCUGUUUAUAAUUAUUAUCUAAACUGGGAAAUUUGGUGUUUUGCAAUACAUAUGACUAUAAACUAAACUUCCAUAUCUGCAAAGGUGGUCACCAAGUUCAAUAGAAUUAUCAAUUAUUUUUCUAUAUACGUUCUUUCAAUACAGAAACCUGAAAGACAAUUGUUCGACAUAAUCACAAUUGUUUCAAUCCGUUUCCUAGUCAAACUCAUUGAUAUCGAAGUACAAAUUAAUUUUUUUUUUUUUUUUUGGUCUCCUGGCCUUUAAAUUGGUCGAGGGGAUUCCAUACUAUAUGCCAUUUUUUUGCUGUACUCAUGGAUAGAAAAUAUUGCAUAUAAUCGGUCUGAUGUCCGCUUAUAAGUUGGCUAUUACUCCCAUAUCAUGUCAUUUUGUCGAUUAUAAUAUAUUAUGCCCAGUUAUGCCUAACGGAUCCAUGUAGAAUAACGCUGUUGCAAACUAUGGCUUGUAAUAAAGUUGAUAUGUUUAAGUGAAACAAUGCAUUAUAACAAAUCGGUACGUUUGCUUAUUUACAAAGUCUGGCAUCCGGUACCGCAUCUCGAAGCAUUGCCUGGUGGUUGCAAAUAAUUUGGAUAAUGAUAUUUAAUCAAAGACCAGCAAUUGGUCGGUAAAGGGAUAAAACUGCUUUAAUUGUAUACAAUUAUGAAUUCUCUUUCAAUAGACAUUAUAUGAACCGACGGAAUGACGCCUCAUUGUUCCCGAAAUAUGAUUACAUGGUCAUUGUUCCGUUUUAAGUAACGUGCUCAUAAAACCGGAUUAUAUUGCAGUACAAGGAAUACGAUACUCCAAUGUUUUACUUGUAUGGCACAUGUUAUGAAUGAUAUCAAGAAUACGUCUCUGGUUUCUUACAUGUCCUUGUGAUAAGGUAACAUGCCCUCAAUGAGGUUGUACAUGGUUUAACUAUUAAAUUUUACUUAUCUUUGACUUUGUGGGAAUUGUUUCCCGUCAUUUUAUCUCUUGAAGGUACUUUCCUAGAGGUUUUUGAUUUUUAGGGUCAAUUUUUGGCAAAAAUGUUUCCGGAUUGUCAUUUUGGGUUUACUUGAAGAUUAGCUUGAGCUCUACUGUCUUCAUUGCAAAAUUCAAUCUGUCUUCGGAGCAAGAAGGAAAGUGGCAUUCGUUCUUCCAUGAAGCUGUAUCCUUUAUUCAGAAGUGGCUAGGUUCACAUCAACGCGUCAUCAUUAAAGCCAGCUGCUUUGAAGGAAAUAAUGAUCUUUGGGUCUCUCUCUGGAUUAAUGUUGCAUGUCUUGGUUUGGCAGUCUUAAUAUUGAAAUAAUUAGGGGACUGGGUUUUAAAGAUCUUGAAGACGUUAAGAUGGUGAAGACAUGAACUUGAAGAUACCAAGGAUUUAAUUGCUUAAGGGACUGGUUUCUGUGGAGUGAGGCCGUGAGGGAUGAGAAGUCCUAAUUCAGAGCGGUGGAUUGACAUGGCAGGACUUGGUUGCAGGAGCAUGCAGGUCGUCAAACAAUGAAAAUUCUGUUGAAUUAUUUUUGUGCGCCCAUUAUUUUCCAUGGGGUAUGCUCGUCAGGUGUCUUCUUUGUGUUUGACCAUGUCAAGUUUCUCUACCAGCAAAGGUUUUCUACUGUCAAAAGGUACUGGCUGCAUGAUUCUUUCGUUCACAUUUCAAUUAUUUGAUUUUUAGUCUCAUGGGUAUUUUCAAUUCUACUCUGAGGAGGCUGUCCAUUUUAUUCUUGCAUCCGUGGCGGUUGAGCUACUUGAAACUUCAAUUUAGACUCUAAUGAAUAUACGAAACAUUUGCCUGUCUUGGAGUAUGUAGCUGCUCAAGGAGCUGUAGGUACUGCGUUUCUAUUGCCUGUGGUGUUGCUAUUGCUGCGGGAGGGUCAAAUUUAUAAUGAUUAGUGGGAAAUGAAUCUCUUAUUGGCACAUGUAAAUUGCACUUGGGACAUUGGGGCUGGAGCUUUAAUGAAAUUCAGUGCACUAGUGUAUGUUCAUGUGAUGGGAUUGUCUUAGUUCUUGUGUUUUGGAUCUCAGCUUUAUGGGAUUUUGAACAUAAGAUAUUCGCACCGUAAAGUUUGAUAUCUUUGUAGUUGCAUCUUGAAAUAGUUUUCCUGAUUUUUUAGGGAUAAUCUACUUAAUUUUUUGUUCCUCAGAUGUUGCAAGACUGUUGGUGCUAUAUUAGUCCAUUAAAAUCCUAUUGUGCUGCAGUUUGGUACUUACAGAUCACUUUUUGGAACUGACAAGGAGUUUGUGGCAUAGUUGCUUCGGAUCAACAAUUGGAGCUGAUGACAGAGGUUUGUGGCAUUAUGGCAUAUUUGUCAAUGUCUUGCCUUUUAGCCUAAAGAGGGCAGAAGGGCUUGUGUCCGGAAUUUGGUAUCCAAUCAACUCUAUCCUCUGCUUUGAGUUUCUUUUUUAAAUGGUUAGUCUUAGAAUUGGUUGCCUUCCCGUUGCUUUAAUGUUAGCAUUUCGCCUGGUGCUAAAUGUUUGUUUAGUCAUUAGAUUUAUAUAUAUAUAAAUAUGUACAUAUAAAUAUUUCAUUUUAAA